rnacentral:rRNA from 1 species
UAUUGGACAAUGGGCGAAAGCCUGAUCCAGCAAUGCCGCGUGAGUGAUGAAGGCCUUAGGGUUGUAAAGCUCUUUUACCCGGGAUGAUAAUGACAGUACCGGGAGAAUAAGCUCCGGCUAACUCCGUGCCAGCAGCCGCGGUAAUACGGAGGGAGCUAGCGUUGUUCAGAAUUACUGGGCGUAAAGCGCACGUAGGCUGCUUUGUAAGUUAGAGGUGAAAGCCUGGAGCUCAACUCCAGAAUUGCCUUUGAUACUGCAUCGCUUGAAUCCAGGAGAGGUGAGUGGAAUUCCGAGUGUAGAGGUGAAAUUCGUAGAUAUUCGGAAGAACACCAGUGGCGAAGGCGGCUCACUGGACUGGUAUUGACGCUGAGGUGCGAAA